rnacentral:rRNA from 1 species
UCAUCUUCGGGGGUAGAGCACUGUUUCGGCUAGGGGGUCAUCCCGACUUACCAACCCGAUGCAAACUACGAAUACCGAAGAAUGUUAUCACGGGAGACACACGGCGGGUGCUAACGUCCGUCGUGAAGAGGGAAACAACCCAGACCGCCAGCUAAGGUCCCAAAGUCACAGUUAAGUGGGAAACGAUGUGGGAAGGCACAGACAGCCAGGAUGUUGGCUUAGAAGCAGCCAUCAUUUAAAGAAAGCGUAAUAGCUCACUGGUCGAGUCGGCCUGCGCGGAAGAUGUAACGGGGCUAAACUGUGCACCGAAGCUGCGGCAGCGACACUAUGUGUUGUUGGGUAGGGGAGCGUUCUGUAAGCCUGCGAAGGUGGCCUGUGAGGGUUGCUGGAGGUAUCAGAAGUGCGAAUGCUGACAUAAGUAACGAUAAUGCGGGUGAAAAGCCCGCACGCCGGAAGACCAAGGGUUCCUGUCCAACGUUAAUCGGGGCAGGGUGAGUCGACCCCUAAGGCGAGGCCGAAAGGCGUAGUCGAUGGGAAACAGGUUAAUAUUCCUGUACUUGGUGUUACUGCGAAGGGGGGACGGAGAAGGCUAUGUUAGCCGGGCGACGGUUGUCCCGGUUUAAGCAUGUAGGCGGAGGUUCCAGGUAAAUCCGGUACCUUAUUAACGCUGAGGUGUGAUGACGAGGCACUACGGUGCUGAAGUAACAAAUGCCCUGCUUCCAGGAAAAGCCUCUAAGCAUCAGGUAACAUUAAAUC